rnacentral:rRNA from 1 species
AGUGAACGCUGGCGGUAGGCCUAACACAUGCAAGUCGAACGGCAGCACAGUAAGAGCUUGCUCUUACGGGUGGCGAGUGGCGGACGGGUGAGGAAUACAUCGGAAUCUACUUUUUCGUGGGGGAUAACGUAGGGAAACUUACGCUAAUACCGCAUACGACCUACGGGUGAAAGCAGGGGAUCUUCGGACCUUGCGCGAUUGAAUGAGCCGAUGUCGGAUUAGCUAGUUGGCGGGGUAAAGGCCCACCAAGGCGACGAUCCGUAGCUGGUCUGAGAGGAUGAUCAGGCACACUGGAACUGAGACACGGUCCAGACUCCUAAGGGAGGGAGCAGUGGGGAAUAUUGGACAAUGGGCGCAAGCCUGAUCCAGCCAUACCGCGUGGGUGAAGAAGGCCUUCGGGUUGUAAAGCCCUUUUGUUGGGAAAGAAAAGCAGCAGGUUAAUACCCCGCUGUUCUGACGGUACCCAAAGAAUAAGCACCGGCUAACUUCGUG